AUCAGGCGUUUACAGGAAAUUCGUCUCUUAGUCCUUGCGUCUCAUCUUCCAGAGGGCAUGUGCAUCAGAUUGUCUUUAUGUCCUCCAGCUCUGUUGCAUUAAACUCUUCCAUAGGUAUCACCGGGGGUUCUUACCGUAAGUUUAUCUCUACCCCAAGAUUACACCUUAAUAAUUAAUUAUCAAGAAAGACUGCUUUGGACAGGCACAAAUUCUACUUUACUAGAAGCCAUUUUUGUUCUUCCCAGUUACAGAGUAAUGCCCCAGGACAGGGUUGGGUAACCAGGAAAUCCUGGUACAAGGUGGACACUUAGGUCUUCUCAUAAUUGAGCUGGGAAGGCUUUGGAGCACAUAUCAGUCAAAAGGCUCUAAACCCAGCUGGGCAGGGCAACUUGGCUUCCUCCACCACCUCUGCAGAGUCACAAAUGGAGCCUGUCAUCUGUCAGCUGCUUGCUGAUUGGCUGACCAGCCACCACUCAUGUCCCACAGCUGUUCUGGCCCUGAGAGUCUCCUGGGUGGGGAGGGAGGGGGUCAGGGUCAGCUUGUUCUGUGCACGUAGCCCAUGGGACUUCCAAGAGCAGGGAUAUUUCAUUAAACUGCUCUGAUCAGCGGUUCCUGGAUGCUGUGUGUGUGACAGGCAGAUGGCCUGUCUGGUCUGUACCUUUUGAAAUGAACUCUGCUGGGAUGUGGUGUUGGACUUGGAAGAAAGUUAGAGGUAAAUGAGACAUAAGUCAGAAGAUUUGACAUUCAUUGCAGCUGCAACCUUAGGCAUGAUUCUCCAGAGAAAAUGUGGACAAGAAGUAAUUUACUGAGAAACUGAAACAGUUUCUGGAUUAUCUGCUGAGUUGUCCACCAUGUUAUUAAAUAAAAGACAUAGUCAAAUAUAUAAAUGUAAUUUUUCCUUUCUUAAGUCAAAGAGUAUGUGUAUGUUACAAUUCUGAUUUUCUCAUGAAGAUUAAGUGAAAUUUCAGUUUUAAUACUUUUCACUUAAGUGAUUAAACCACAG